UACGGAGGGGGCUAGCGUUGUUCGGAAUUACUGGGCGUAAAGCGCACGUAGGCGGCUUUGUAAGUUAGAGGUGAAAGCCCGGGGCUCAACUCCGGAAUUGCCUUUAAGACUGCAUCGCUAGAAUUGUGGAGAGGUAAGUGGAAUUCCGAGUGUAGAGGUGAAAUUCGUAGAUAUUCGGAAGAACACCAGUGGCGAAGGCGGCUAUCUGGACCGUAACUGACGCUG
rnacentral:rRNA from 1 species